GACGAACGCUGGCGGCGUGCUUAACACAUGCAAGUCGAACGGAAAGGCCCUGCUUUUGUGGGGUGCUCGAGUGGCGAACGGGUGAGUAACACGUGAGUAACCUGCCCUUGACUUUGGGAUAACUUCAGGAAACUGGGGCUAAUACCGGAUAGGAGCUCCUGCUGCAUGGUGGGGGUUGGAAAGUUUCGGCGGUUGGGGGUGGACUCGCGGCUUAUCAGCUUGUUGGUGGGGUAGUGGCUUACCAAGGCUGUGACGGGUAGCCGGCCUGAGAGGGUGACCGGCCACAUUGGGACUGAGAUACGGCCCAGACUCCUACGGGAGGCAGGAGUGGGGAAUAUUGCACAAUGGGCGGAAGCCUGAUGCAGCAACGCCGCGUGCGGGAUGACGGCCUUCGGGUUGUAAACCGCUUUCGCCUGUGACGAAGCGUGAGUGACGGUAAUGGGUAAAGAAGCACCGGCUAACUACGUG
rnacentral:rRNA from 1 species